CGGAGCCCUAAACACGAAAAGUAGCUCUAAACAAACCCUGAUGCCACGAAAAGCCAAGAAACAAAACUGGGAUUAGAUACCCCCACUAUGCUUGGCUAUAAACCCAGAUGUAACCUUACAUACACAUCCGCCAGGGCUACUACGAGCGCAGCUUAAAACCCAAAGGACUUGGCGGUGUCUCAGACCCACCUAGAGGAGCCUGUUCUAGAACCGAUAACCCCCGUUAAACCUCACCACUUCUUGUCUUUCCCGCCUAUAUACCGCCGUCGUCAGCUUUCCCCUGUGAAGGCCUAACAGUAAGCAAAAUGGGGCACACCCAAAAACGUCAGGUCGAGGUGUAGCUUACGAAGUGGGAUAGAAAUGGGCCUACA
rnacentral:rRNA from 1 species